rnacentral:misc_RNA from 1 species
CUCUAGCCGUCUUUUUGCAGAAAGUUAAGGUACUGCGAAAAAGAGAUGGAGAUGGAGCAGCUGCUAAGCAUGGGUUUUCCAAGCGAAUUGGCUGCCCAAGCUCUGGCGGCGANNNNNNNNCAAAGCUACCGAGUGGAUUCUCUCCCAUAAAUCUUGUGACGCUAAUCCCAAGCCACCCUCAAACCCAACCCCUUCUUCGCUCCAGCCAAAGUUAGACCGCUUCUUCCACUUGCAAUCGAAACCCAACUCCUCCUCCAGUUCCCCUUGCACCCCACCACCCACUGAUCAAGCAGAGGAUGAACCCAUCCCUCUUUGUUCUAAGCGGCCCAAAUUAUUGGCAUCAUCAGCCACUAAUUCGUGCUCUCCCGCUAUCCACCACAGCAAGCACCAUCCUCCCCAUGAGCCCUUAUCAGAACGAAUGCGCCCUCGCUCCAUUGACGACGUCGUCGGCCAAGAUCACCUUCUGGCCCAGAACUCUAUCCUCCGCUCCGCCAUAGAUUACAAUCGCCUCC